rnacentral:rRNA from 1 species
UACGAAGGGGGCUAGCGUUGCUCGGAAUUACUGGGCGUAAAGGGAGCGUAGGCGGAUAGUUUAGUCAGAGGCGAAAUCCCCGGGCUCAACCCGGGAACUGCGUCCGAUACUGGGAGGCUUGAAUCCGGGAGAGGGAUGUGGAAUUCCAGGUGUAGCGGUGAAAUGCGUAGAUAUCUGGAGGAACACCGGUGGCGAAGGCGGCAUCCUGGACCGGUAUUGACGCUGAGGCGCGAAAGCCAGGGGAGCAAACGGG